rnacentral:rRNA from 1 species
GUGGGGAAUUUUGGACAAUGGGCGCAAGCCUGAUCCAGCAAUGCCGCGUGCAGGAAGAAGGCCUUCGGGUUGUAAACUGCUUUUGUACGGAACGAAAAGGCUCUGGUUAAUACCUGGGGCUCAUGACGGUACCGUAAGAAUAAGCACCGGCUAACUACGUGCCAGCAGCCGCGGUAAUACGUAGGGUGCAAGCGUUAAUCGGAAUUACUGGGCGUAAAGCGUGCGCAGGCGGUUUUGUAAGACAGAGGUGAAAUCCCCGGGCUCAACCUGGGAGCUGCCUUUGUGACUGCAAGGCUGGAGUGCGGCAGAGGGGGAUGGAAUUCCGCGUGUAGCAGUGAAAUGCGUAGAUAUGCGGAGGAACACCGAUGGCGAAGGCAAUCCCCUGGGCCUGCACUGACGCUCAUGCACGAAAGCGUGGGGAGCAAACAGGAUUAGAAACCCCGGUAGUCC